ACCCAUGAUUACGAGCAAUUCACCAGGAUAAGCCACUCCGCACACUAGAAUGAUUCAUUCCGAAAUACGGUAAUUUCUAAAAAAUGUUUUAAACUUCUUUAGAUGUUAUAAGUUUCACUCAUAAAUAAGAAAAUGAGAAAUUUAAAACUUAGAUUAUUUCAGAAUUUGCAUAUGUAUAAAGGAAUUCUAAAAAAUAUUAAGACUAGUAUUCUGUUAAUUAUUGCGUAGUAUUUUUGAAAAGUAUUCUCAUUUGUAUAAAAAAAUCUGAGAAAUUUUGUAGAAAAUUAUAGAAAACUAGACAGAAAUUCUAAAAAAUAAUAUGAAAAAUUUUAAGAGAAACUUUUGCCAGGGAUUUUUCGUAAAACUGUUAUAAAUAAUUUAAAAAAGUGAGAAGUUGUCUUUCUUCUUACCAUCUUUUAAUAUAUGUUUCUGUGCUACGAAUUUUCUGGUCCUGAACAUCAACCGAUCCCAAAUUUUGUCAUUUUUCACGCUGUAAUACACGUUGACGUCGCUCCACGUAUACGUAAUGUUGUUGUCGAAACUUUUGUUGAAAUCUGCGAUUGUCGAUGCGCUUGAAAUCGGUUUAAGAUCAAAAGAAUUUUCCGGAUUUUCUCCGUGCAACGCAUUCCUUUCGUUAUCUUCCUAUAACGGCAAUUAUAGACAUAGUCUCUGUUUCGACUUUAUUUCAAUAUAGAUUAAUGUAUUAUAACGAAUAUAUUUAUAUUAGUGUCUUCCAUUAUAUGUAAAGUAUUUUAGAGCUGUCAGAUGUUUUUUUAGAUAUCAUUUCUCUUUAACCAAUUUCGAAAUAAAUUUUUCUUUCUUAAGACCCGAUGAAAAAUUUUCUCAGAAAUUUAUAUUGAAUUGAAAUAUUUUUUUAGAAAUACUAAGAAAAAUCUAUAUUUUUUCCUAGAAUUUAUACAUGGGAAUUCUGAAAUAUUCCAAAAUUUGUAUAAAAAUCUGAAAAAUUUUUACUAGAGGAGAUACAAGUCUCCAAGUUUAAUAUAAUUUAUGCGGAGUAACAAUGUAACUGACAAAAGAAAGAUAUAUGAUAGCUAGUAAUAAAUCCGCAUCUCGCUUAAAGUAGUGUAGCUAGAUAUCAAAAGAAUAUUUUGCUAUACUUGCUACAAACAUGUCUAAAAAUAUUUUUAAAAAAUAAAUAACUUGAACUAAACUCGCAAAUUUCGUAUUCGAUUUCGUCAAACAAAUCUCUUGCCUUGAAUCUCCUUUAAAAAAAGAAAAAUACGAAAUUAUGUCAUCCAUCAGAUAAUCGAACCUGACGAAGCCAUAGAUAUAUGGCUGAGAAUACUGUGCUGAGUUCAAGAUAACCAUCACAGGCGUGUAUAUGAAAACGUAAAAUAAGUUCGAAAAAAAAAAAUGUACGAGAGCGUUUCAACUAAAAAUUACUUUGUCACAGGGUCGCUCGAUAUACGGCAUUGAAAGAACGAGACAAUUGUGUCAUAGGAGUAUCUUGUUUGUACUUACGAAUGAAAUUGUGUGAUAAGUGACUCUUUGGGUCUUACUGAGAGAAGAUACCAAUGACGUCGAUAUCAACGGUUCCGUUUCCUCCGUAGCCGUCAUUUUCUUAUACUUCGCUCGUUUCUUCGAUGCACCGACAGAUACACUAAUUAAAAUACAAUCUCUAAUAAUAACAAGCAAAAUGAUUCCUCAUACUUUUAAGAAUUCGCCUUCAAGAAUAACACCUAUUAUAAUUCUUCGCAAUUAAUCGAAAAGUAAUCGCAAUUAAAGAAAUUCAGACUUCAAAAGUUCUUUUUUUUUUAUUUACAACAGACACUGACCAGUACAGAAAAUCUAUGCACGUUUCGUAUAAAAUAACAUGUUCUAGAACUGUGAGACAAAAAAAAGGCAGAUUAUUGCCCGAGAUAGUGUGUAGCGAAAAAUACGUUCGACGAACAGACCGGCUUCUUUUCCCCGGCGGAUUGCGGUAUCACGGAUACGUGAACACCUGCGUACAAUGUGAAAGAACAUGCGUACACGGUAUACGCGCAUGGAGAUUGGUCGAAGGAACGUGUGCCCCUCUCCAUCGGUUGCAUAUUUACCUCGCCCUAUCUACGCUCUGUUGAGACCCGCGCAAAUCCGUCUACAAAGAAAUCAAAAUCAGGAUGGCUUCGAGAUGUACAUACGUGUAUUAUAGUGUAACUAUGUAGUGCUGUAUGUAUGAAGUUCCUUUUUCCUUCCUCGUUUGUCUCUCGAAAAUGUAAAUGUAAUGCGCUAGUAAGAGAAGAGGAUGAUGAUAUGGAUAUGCAGCAUUGACGCAAUCUGCAACAUUAUUUAUUUCUUCCUAGUGUAUUAGAGAUCAUUAUCUUAUCUUACAUUAUGAGGAGCGCGCGUACGGUCGUGCGUUUUAGAGCCGUUUUAGAAAGCGUAGCGGUCUAUUUACGUAGGACAGCGCUGAAGUAUGAAUGGCCCUAUUGAUUUAACUAUCGCUAUGUGGGUAAUAAUAAUAAUAAUAAUAAUAUAUUGCAGUAUAUUUAUCAAAAUAUAUAUCUCUCGUAGUGGUUUUUUUUUUCGUUAUUUUUUCGCGUAUAUGUACUUCAAAACACGAUAUCACGGGUGAUGAUAAUUAAGAAAUUUUAACCAGUCACCACAGUACAAAAUACAUCGUCUUUCUGUUAAACGAGAUAUAAACUUUCGAAUGUAUAUGUAAGAAAA
rnacentral:lncRNA from 1 species